rnacentral:tRNA from 1 species
GCCUGGGUGGCUCAGUGGUUGAGCGUCUGCCUUCAGCCCAGGGCCUGAUCCUAGAGACGUGGGGUCGAGUCCCGCACCAGGCU